GACGAACGCUGGCGGCGUGCUUAACACAUGCAAGUCGAACGAUGAAGCUGGAGCUUGCUCUGGCGGAUUAGUGGCGAACGGGUGAGUAACACGUUAGAAAUCUGCCCUUGACUCUGGGAUAACUGCGGGAAACUGUAGCUAAUACCGGAUACUUUACCUGGUGGGCAUCCACUGGGGAAGAAAGAAUUUCGGUCAAGGAUGAUCUCGCGGCCUAUCAGCUUGUUGGUGAGGUAAUGGCUCACCAAGGCGACGACGGGUAGCCGGCCUGAGAGGGUGACCGGCCACACUGGGACUGAGACACGGCCCAGACUCCUACGGGAGGCAGCAGUGGGGAAUAUUGCACAAUGGGCGCAAGCCUGAUGCAGCAACGCCGCGUGAGGGAUGAAGGCCUUCGGGUUGUAAACCUCUUUUAGCAGGGAAGAAGCGAAAGUGACGGUACCUGCAGAAAAAGCACCGGAUAACUACGUGCCAGCAGCCGCCGUAA
rnacentral:rRNA from 1 species